rnacentral:rRNA from 1 species
CCUACGGGAGGCAGCAGUGAGGAAUAUUGGUCAAUGGACGAGAGUCUGAACCAGCCAAGUAGCGUGAAGGAUGACUGCCCUAUGGGUUGUAAACUUCUUUUAUAUGGGAAUAAAACAGGGUAUGCAUACCCUCUUGUAUGUACCAUAUGAAUAAGGAUCGGCUAACUCCGUGCCAGCAGCCGCGGUAAUACGGAGGAUCCGAGCGUUAUCCGGAUUUAUUGGGUUUAAAGGGAGCGUAGGUGGAUUGUUAAGUCAGUUGUGAAAGUUUGCGGCUCAACCGUAAAAUUGCAGUUGAAACUGGCAGUCUGGAGUACAGUAGAGGUGGGCGGAAUUCGUGGUGUAGCGGUGAAGUGCUUAGAUAUCACGAAGAACUCCGAUUGCGAAGGCAGCUUACUGGACUGCAACUGACACUGAUGCUCGAAAGUGUGGGUAUCAAACAGGAUUAGAUACCCGUGUAGUC